GUGUGUGUAUCUGUGUGUAUCUCCGUGCGUAGGUGGAGGAGGAGCUGUGGGAGGAAGACUUCAUCGAGAGAUGCUUCCAGGAGAUGUUGCUGGAGGAGGAGGAGUCUGAGUCGUUCAUCCCGGCACGAGACCUUCCUGGUGCCACUCACGGCACAGCGGAGACACCGCUGAUGGCUGGGCCUGCUUUCAAGAGCACGCUGAACCCUCACGCCAAGGAGUUUGUACCACGUGGAGGAGGUGGAGGAGGAGGUGGAGGAGGUGGAGGAGGUGGAGGAGGUGGAGGAGGAGGAGGUGGAGGAGGAGGAGACAUCGACGCAGAACAGAAUCACCAAUGACACUUAGUUAUACACUCGCUCACCCACACACACAGACAGGCACACACAGACACACAGACACA